UACGAAGGGGGCUAGCGUUGUUCGGAAUUACUGGGCGUAAAGGGCGCGUAGGCGGCGUGUCAAGUCAGGCGUGAAAGCCCCGGGCUCAACCUGGGAACCGCGCUUGAGACUGGCAUGCUCGAGUUCGGGAGAGGAUGGUGGAAUUCCCAGUGUAGAGGUGAAAUUCGUAGAUAUUGGGAAGAACACCGAUGGCGAAGGCGGUUCUCUGGGCAUGUCCUGACGCUGGAGGAGCGAAAGUGUGGGGAGCGAACAGG
rnacentral:rRNA from 1 species